UACAGAGGUCCCAAGCGUUGUUCGGAUUCACUGGGCGUAAAGGGUGCGUAGGUGGUUAGGUAAGUCCAUGUGAAAUCUCCAGGCUCAACCUGGAAAUGGCAUUGGAUACUAUCUAGCUUGAGGAGUGGAGGGGGGGACUGGAAUUCUCGGUGUAGCAGUGAAAUGCGUAGAUAUCAGAGGAACACCAGUGGCGAAGGCGAGUCCCUGGACACUUCCUGACACUGAGGCACGAAAGCUAGGGGAGCAAACAGG
rnacentral:rRNA from 1 species